ACUCAGAACUCAGCCAUCUGCGAGCCUGGGGGCCCCAUCCCAGCCUGGGGAUGUAGGGUGGGGGUGGGACACAGGCCGGCUGCCUUGCACCAGCUCUCUCUCCUGCAUCCCAGGGCUGCAGAGAAGCCAGGCUCCUUCCUUCCGGGGGGUGGGGUGGGAGGGGGUUUUUCCAAUCAGAGACGGAGCCUCAUUCACAAAUCCACACGGCUUGGGCUGAUUGUGCCAGGCGCUGCCACACACACACACACACACACACACACACACACACACGCAAGCACGCACGCACAACAGACCGAGCUGUGGGUGGCCCUUGCUCCAGCCGGGCCUGGGGUGAGCACAGCCCCAUCUGGGCUCUCUCUGUCUCUCUCUCUCUGUCACCCUCUUGUCUACACCCCGCACCCUCAGCUGCACCCAGCACCCUCUUCCAAGCCCUCAGAGAACCUAUGUUCGGUGCCAUGGCAGCUGGAAGCCCAGACUCUCAGGCCCAGUAAGGUGACCGGGAAGGAGCCCCCACCCUGCGCCCACCCGGGCAUGGAGGUCCCGGGCCCCCAGGUGUCCGGCAGGCCCGGGGAGACCUCGGUCAAAUGGCAGCUGUGCUACAACAUGACAGCCAAGAUGUGGUGGACGGGUCCUGUGAUUUGGGCUGGAGUCGUCAGAAGAAAGAGAAGACUCUUCCAGGCAGAGGGCAUGGCAGUGCAAAGGCCCUGAGGCAGGGCAGAGCCCCGUGAAGUGCAGGAACAGUGAGGAGCCCGAGUGGCUUGAGCAGAGGGAGCAUGGGGGAGAGAGGGAGGCAGAGAGGGUCAGGGGCCAUGUAGGGUCCUGUGGGCUGCAGGGAGGACCUGGGCUUUGGCCCCAGAGCCCUGGAGGGCUGAGGGCUGAAGAGGGAC
rnacentral:lncRNA from 1 species